rnacentral:misc_RNA from 1 species
AAUGUAUAUUACCUAAUAUUGAGUAAAUGUUGGUCAUAUCUUUUGUUAAAAAAAAAGCCGAAGUUGGACCGUCCAAAUAUAUUUAUAAAAUCAAACUAGUGUAGGCAAAUAAAAAUAAAAUAUAUUUCCCAUUAAUUUUAAGGAACUCGCUUCAUUCUAUCUUCGGUUCAUAGGUCAGAGAUUUCAGAUGUUUAGGUUUAUCAUAUGUAUAGUAGUUGAAUUAUAGUUGGUUGAAUGUCUGCUAAACUGAUUACGUAACUUUAACAGUGUUAUCGGCUGAUGGUUCGACAAUAGAAUAAAUUAUAAUUUUCUGGCAUAGUUUAAGGCUGUCAAAAGUCUGGUCUACGA